GAUGAAGAACGUAGCGAAAUGCGAUAAGUAAUGCGAAUUGCAGAAUUCAGUGAGUCAUCGAAUCUUUGAACGCACAUUGCGCCUGCCAGCACUCUGGCAGGCAUGCCUGUUCGAGCGUCAUUUCAACCAUCAAGCCCUAGGCUUGCGUUGGAGCCCUGCGGCUGCCGCAGGCCCCUAAAAGCAGUGGCGGGCUCGCUAUCACACCGAGUGCAGUAGAUUACUCUUCGCUCAGGGCGUGUGGCGGGUUCCAGCCGUGAAACCCCCUACUUCUCAAGGUUGACCUCGGAUCAGGUAGGAAUACCCGCUGAACUUAAGCAUAUCAAUAAGCGGAGGA
rnacentral:misc_RNA from 1 species